rnacentral:rRNA from 1 species
AACGAACGCUGGCGGCAGGCUUAACACAUGCAAGUCGAACGGACACCUUCGGGUGUCAGUGGCAGACGGGUGAGUAACGCGUGGGAACGUACCUUUCGGUUCGGAAUAACCCAGGGAAACUUGGGCUAAGACCGGAUACGCCGGAAACGGGAAAGAUUUAUCGCCGAAAGAUCGGCCCGCGUCGGAUUAGCUAGUUGGUGGGGUAAUGGCCUACCAAGGCGACGAUCCGUAGCUGGUCUGAGAGGAUGAUCAGCCACACUGGGACUGAGACACGGCCCAGACUCCUACGGGAGGCAGCAGUGGGGAAUAUUGGACAAUGGGCGCAAGCCUGAUCCAGCCAUGCCGC